rnacentral:lncRNA from 1 species
AGAUACAUCCUACUCCAAAACCAUCCCAUUAUGGAUCGAAAAAUAUGAGCCAUCACCUAGCCCCCAAAUAACUCUCUUGUUAGAAUCACCACCUGCUUUAGAACUAAUGACACUUUCUGAUGCACCCACUGACACCCCAUCAGUGAGCCCUAACCAGAAAGAUCAACUUGUAGGUAUUCUAAAAACUCAUAAAGAAGCUAUCGGGUGGGAUA